rnacentral:rRNA from 1 species
GAAACCAGGUGAUCUAGCCAUGGGCAGGUUGAAGGUUGAGUAACAUCAACUGGAGGACCGAACCGACUAAUGUUGAAAAAUUAGCGGAUGACUUGUGGCUAGGGGUGAAAGGCCAAUCAAACCUGGAGAUAGCUGGUUCUCCCCGAAAGCUAUUUAGGUAGCGCCUCGGACGAAUACUACUGGGGGUAGAGCACUGUUAAGGCUAGGGGGUCAUCCCGACUUACCAACCCUUUGCAAACUCCGAAUACCAGUAAGUACUAUCCGGGAGACACACGGCGGGUGCUAACGUCCGUCGUGGAGAGGGAAACAACCCAGACCGCCAGCUAAGGUCCCAAAUUACUACUAAGUGGGAAACGAUGUGGGAAGGCUCAGACAGCCAGGAUGUUGGCUUAGAAGCAGCCAUCAUUUAAAGAAAGCGUAAUAGCUCACUGGUCGAGUCGGCCUGCGCGGAAGAUGUAACGGGGCUAAGUAGUAAACC